UGCGUAGGCGGAAUAUUAAGUCAGUGGUGAAAUCCUGCGGCUCAACCGUAGAACUGCCAUUGAUACUGAUAUUCUUGAAUGUAGUUGAGGUAGGCGGAAUGUGUAAUGUAGCGGUGAAAUGCUUAGAUAUUACACAGAACACCGAUUGCGAAGGCAGCUUACUAAACUAUGAUUGACGCUGAGGUACGAAAGCGUGGGGAGCGAACAGGAUUAGAUACCCUGGUAGUCC
rnacentral:rRNA from 1 species